GACGAACGCUGGCGGCGUGCUUAACACAUGCAAGUCGAACGGUGAAGCUCCAGCUUGCUGGUGUGGCUCAGUGGCGAACGGGUGAGUAACACGUGAGCAACCUGCCCCUGACUCUGGAAUAAGCGCUGGAAACGGCGUCUAAUACUGGAUACGAGAAGGGUCCGCAUGGGCACCUUCUGGAAAGUUUUUCGGUUGGGGAUGGGCUCGCGGCCUAUCAGCUUGUUGGUGAGGUAAUGGCUCACCAAGGCGACGACGGGUAGCCGGCCUGAGAGGGCGACCGGCCACACUGGGACUGAGACACGGCCCAGACUCCUACGGGAGGCAGCAGUGGGGAAUAUUGCACAAUGGGCGAAAGCCUGAUGCAGCGACGCCGCGUGAGGGAUGACGGCCUUCGGGUUGUAAACCGCUUUCAGCAGGGAAGAAGCGAAAGUGACGGUACCUGCAGAAGAAGCACCGGCUAACUACGUG
rnacentral:rRNA from 1 species